rnacentral:rRNA from 1 species
AGCUAGUUGGUGGGGUAAAAGCCUACCAAGGCAGCGAUCAGUAGCUGGUCUGAGAGGAUGAGCAGCCACACUGGGACUGAGACACGGCCCAGACUCCUACGGGAGGCAGCAGUGGGGAAUUUUCCGCAAUGGGCGAAAGCCUGACGGAGCAAUACCGCGUGAGGGAGGAAGGCCUUUGGGUUGUAAACCUCUUUUCUCAGGGAAGAAGAUCUGACGGUACCUGAGGAAUAAGCAUCGGCUAACUCCGUGCCAGCAGCCGCGGUAAUACGGAGGAUGCAAGCGUUAUCCGGAAUCAUUGGGCGUAAAGCGUCCGCAGGUGGUUUUUCAAGUCUGCUGUUAAAGACUGGAGCUCAACUCCGGAAAGGCAGUGGAAACUGAGAAACUAGAGUUCGGUAGGGGUAGCGGGAAUUCCCAGUGUAGCGGUGAAAUGCGUAGAUAUUGGGAAGAACAUCGGUGGCGAAGGCGCGCUACUGGACCGAAACUGACACUCAGGGACGAAAGCUAGGGGAGCGAAAGGGAUUAGAUACCCCUGUAGUCCUAGCUGUAAACGAUGGAAACUAGGUGUGGCUUGUAUCGACCCGAGCCGUGCCGUAGCUAACGCGUUAAGUUUCCCGCCUGGGGAGUACGCACGCAAGUGUGAAACUCAAAGGAAUUGACGGGGGCCCGCACAAGCGGUGGAGUAUGUGGUUUAAUUCGAUGCAACGCGAAGAACCUUACCAGGGCUUGACAUGUCGCGAAUCUCCUUGAAAGGGGAGAGUGCCUUCGGGAGCGCGAACACAGGUGUGCAUGGCUGUCGUCAGCUCGUGUCGUGAGAUGUUGGGUUAAGUCCCGCAACGAGCGCAACCCUCGUCUUUAGUUGCCAGCAUUAAGGUGGGCACUUUAGAGAGACUGCCGGUGACAAACCGGAGGAAGGUGGGGAUGACGUCAAGUCAGCAUGCCCCUUACGCCCUGGGCUACACACGUACUACAAUGGUUGGGACAAAGGGCAGCGACCCCGCGAGGGAAAGCGAAUCUCAUCAAACCCAGCCUCAGUUCAGAUUGCAGGCUGCAACUCGCCUGCAUGAAGGAGGAAUCGCUAGUAAUCGCAGGUCAGCAUACUGCGGUGAAUUCGUUCCCGGGCCUUGUACACACCGCCCGUCACACCAUGGAAGCUGGUCACGCCCGAAGUAGUUACCCUAACCUUUCGGGGGGGGGACUCCUAAGGCAGGGCUAGUGACUGGGGUGAAGUCGUAACAAGGUAGCCGUACCGGAAGGUGUGGCUG